rnacentral:rRNA from 1 species
GAUGAACGCUGGCGGCGUGCCUAAUACAUGCAAGUCGAGCGAACAGACGAGGAGCUUGCUCCUCUGACGUUAGCGGCGGACGGGUGAGUAACACGUGGAUAACCUACCUAUAAGACUGGGAUAACUUCGGGAAACCGGAGCUAAUACCGGAUAAUAUAUUGAACCGCAUGGUUCAAUAGUGAAAGACGGUUUUGCUGUCACUUAUAGAUGGAUCCGCGCCGCAUUAGCUAGUUGGUAAGGUAACGGCUUACCAAGGCAACGAUGCGUAGCCGACCUGAGAGGGUGAUCGGCCACACUGGAACUGAGACACGGUCCAGACUCCUACGGGAGGCAGCAGUAGGGAAUCUUCCGCAAAGGGCGAAAGCCUGACGGAGCAACGCCACGUGAGUGAUGAAGGUCUUCGGAUCGUAAAACUCUGUUAUUAGGGAAGAACAAAUGUGUAAGUAACUAUGCACGUCUUGACGGUACCUAAUCAGAAAGCCACGGCUAACUACGUG